rnacentral:pre_miRNA from 1 species
UCAUGUAUUGUGGAGGGGAGAGGGUCAAAUGUGGCCACACUUCCUCUCCUCUUCAUAAUGCAUGCCA